rnacentral:rRNA from 1 species
CCUACGGGUGGCAGCAGUGGGGAAUAUUGCGCAAUGGGCGAAAGCCUGAAGCAGCGACGCCGCGUGAGGGAUGAAGGUCUUCGGAUCGUUAAACUCUUUCAGUAUGGGAGUACGGUCCCUGUUCUAAUCAGCUUUGAAUUUACCAUACCUACAAAGGAAGCACCGCCUAACUCCGUGCCAGCAGCCGCGGUAAUACGGAGGGUGCGAGCGUUAAUCUGAAUUACUGGUCUUAAAGCGCUCGUAGGCGGUAGGUCAAGUCAGGGGUGAAGUCCCCGGGCUCAACCUGGGAACUGCAUUUGAAACUGGGAAACUGGAGUGUGUGAGAGGAUAGUGGAAUUCGAGGUGUAGGAGUGAAAUGCGUAGAUAUCUGGAGGAACAGCAGUGGCGAAGGCGACUACCUGGAAAAUAACUGACGCUGAGGAGCGAAAGUGUGGGUAGCAAACAGGAUUAGAUACCCGUGUAGUC